CCGGCGACCGGCGCACGGGUGAGUAACACGUAUGCAACCUGCCCUCUUCAGGGGGACAACCUUCCGAAAGGGAGGCUAAUCCCGCGUAUAUCGGUUUCGGGCAUCCGAGAUCGAGGAAAGAUUCAUCGGAAAGAGGAUGGGCAUGCGGCGCAUUAGCUAGACGGCGGGGUAACGGCCCACCGUGGCGACGAUGCGUAGGGGUUCUGAGAGGAAGGUCCCCCACACUGGUACUGAGACACGGACCAGACUCCUACGGAAGGCAGCAG
rnacentral:rRNA from 1 species